GGAUUGACGAUAUUUAGUCUCU
rnacentral:snRNA from 1 species